GCUGGGCGUGGUGGCUCACGCCUGUAAUCCUAGCACUUUGGGAGGCUGAGGUGGGCGGAUCACCUGAGGUCAGGAGUUUGAGACCAGCCUGACCAACAUGGAGAAACCCCGUCUCUA
rnacentral:SRP_RNA from 1 species